rnacentral:rRNA from 1 species
GACGGAGGAUGCAAGCGUUAUCCGGAAUUAUUGGGCGUAAAGCGUCCGCAGGUGGUCAUACAAGUCUGCUGUCAAAGUGCAGAGCUUAACUCUGUAAAGGCGGUGGAAACUGUAGGUCUUGAGUAUGGUAGGGGUAGAGGGAAUUCCCGGUGUAGCGGUGAAAUGCGUAGAUAUCGGGAAGAACACCAGUGGCGAAAGCGCUCUACUGGGCCAUAACUGACACUGAGGGACGAAAGCUAGGGGAGCGAAAGGG